UACGUAGGGUGCAAGCGUUGUCCGGAAUUAUUGGGCGUAAAGAGCUCGUAGGCGGUCUGUCGCGUCGGAUGUGAAAAUCCAGGGCUCAACCCUGGACCUGCAUUCGAUACGGGCAGACUAGAGUUCGGUAGGGGAGACUGGAAUUCCUGGUGUAGCGGUGAAAUGCGCAGAUAUCAGGAGGAACACCGGUGGCGAAGGCGGGUCUCUGGGCAGUAACUGACGCUGAGGAGCGAAAGCGUGGGGAGCAAACAGG
rnacentral:rRNA from 1 species